rnacentral:rRNA from 1 species
AGGUAGGGAUACCCGCUGAACUUAAGCAUAUCAAUAAGCGGAGGAAGAGAAACCMACAGGGAUUGCCUUAGUAACGGCGAGUGAAGUGGCAAAAGCUCAGAUUUGAAAUCUGGUGUUUUUAUAGGCACCUGAGUUGUAAUCUGUAGAGGAGUUUUCGGAGGAUGACUAUGGUUAAAGUUCCUUGGAAAAGGGCAUCAUAGAGGGUGAGAAUCCUGUUUAUGACCUUAGUACUUCUCCAUUAUGAAUCUCCUUCAAUGAGUCGAGUUGUUUGGGAAUGCAGCUCUAAAUGGGUGGUAAAUUCCAUCUAAAGCUAAAUAUUGGCAAGAGACCGAUAGCGCACAAGUAGAGUGAUCGAAAGAUGAAAAGAACUCUGAACAGAGAGUUAAAGAGUACGUGAAAUUGUUGAAAGGGAAGCACUUGUGACCAGAUGAAUUUGCAAUUAAUCAGCCAUCAAUUUUUGGUGGUGCACUUAAUUGUAAGUGGGUUAGCAUCAGUUAUAGCAGUGGGAAAAAGACCGAGGGAAUGUAGCUCCUCUUUGAGGAGUGUUAAUUAGUCCUUGGUUUAAUACCGCUUAUUAUGACUGAGGAUUGCGCUUUGAGCAAGGAUGCUGACAUAAUGGUCAUAAGUGACCCGUCUUGAAACACGGACCAAGGAGUCUAACAUCUAUGCGAGUGUUUGGGUUCAAGCCCUUACGCAUAAUGAAAGUGAAUGAAGGUGGGAACCUUUGGGUGCACCAUCGACCGAUCCUGAUGUUUUCGGAUGGAUUUGAGUAGGAGCAUAGCUGUUGGGACCCGAAAGAUGGUGAACUAUGCCUGAAUAGGGUGAAGCCAG